AUUGAACGCUGGCGGCAGGCUUAACACAUGCAAGUCGAACGAGUGGCGGACGGGUGAGUAAUGCUUAGGAAUAUAGCUUAUGGAGGGGGAUAACUACGGGAAAAGGUAGCUAAGACAGCGUACCAAAGGAUGAGAAGAAGGGGGAUUAGGUAUUUGGUGAGGUAAAGGCUCACCAAGACGACGAGCUCUAGCGGGGCUGAGAGGAUGACCAGCCACACGUGGACUGAGACACGGCCCAGACUCCUACGGGAGGCAGCAGGGGGGAAUAUUGCGCAAUGGGGGCAACCUGACGCAGCCAUGCCGCGUGAAUGAAGAAGGCCUUCGGGUUGUAAAGUUCUUUCGGUAGCGAGGCGUUAACUACAGAAGAAGCACCGGCUAACUCCGUGCCAGCAGCCGCUGUAAUUC
rnacentral:rRNA from 1 species